rnacentral:rRNA from 1 species
CCUACGGGAGGCAGCAGUGGGGAAUAUUGCACAAUGGGGGAAACCCUGAUGCAGCGACGCCGCGUGAGUGAAGAAGUAUUUCGGUAUGUAAAGCUCUAUCAGCAGGGAAGAAAAUGACGGUAUCUGACUAAGAAGCCCCGGCUAACUACGUGCCAGCAGCCGCGGUAAUACGUAGGGGGCAAGCGUUAUCCGGAUGUACUGGGUGUAAAGGGAGAGUAGACGGCAGCGCAAGUCUGGAGUGAAAUGCCGGGGCUUAACCCCGGAACUGCUUUGGAAACUGUGCAGCUAGAGUGCAGGAGAGGUAAGUGGAAUUCCUAGUGUAGCGGUGAAAUGCGUAGAUAUUAGGAGGAACACCAGUGGCGAAGGCGGCUUACUGGACUGUAACUGACGUUGAGGCUCGAAAGCGUGGGGAGCAAACAGGAUUAGAUACCCGAGUAGUC